UAUAGUUCCAUCGAUCCAUUGGCGAAACCUUGAGACGGAAGUGUAGACGCCAGGGUACUGGGCAUCAGCACAGCCAUUGCCCCAGGAGACGAUGCCGUAGACACGGCCCUCGCACACCAGCGGUCCUCCAGAAUCCCCCUGCAGAAAAGACAAUAAUGUUAAUAUGAUUUUGGACAGAAUGGUGAGAUGGUGUGCGAGAGGAGUGAAGGAGGUCAAACUAGAACUAGAAGGUGAAACUCACAGUGACGUGAGACACAUAUUGCCUUUGCUAUAAAUUUAAUUACAUUUCUUUUGGUGAACUUGACACAUUGCAAUGCCAGCAAAUCUGCUCCUUUUUAGCAAGAAAUGGGACGGGAAUUGAUUUUUAUCCAUCAAGAAUUGAUUUGGAUUAGAGAAUAAAUUUUAUAUUUAUUUAUUUACACUACUGUUUAAAAGUUUGGGGUCAGUAAGAUAUUUUUUUACUUGAAAAAUGAAUACCUUUAUACAGCAAGGAUGCAUUAAAUUGAUCAAAAAUGACAGUAAAGCAAAUCAGCAUAUUAGAAUGAUUUCUGAAGGAUCAUGUGACACUGAAGACUGGAGUAAUGAUGCUGAAAAUUCAGCUUUUGUCAUCAUUAUUAUUUUUAAUUGUAAUCACAAUUUUUUUUUUUUUUUAAUCAAAUUAAUGCGGCCUUGGUGAGCUUUCUAAAACUUUCUAAAACAUUUGAAAAACUUAAAGAUUUUCUUAUUUGUUUCUUACUUAUUUUUUUCCUUUUUGAUAAGUCCUUAAUUUCUACCAGAUUUUUCUGGCCUAACUGAAUAAGAUUUAUCAAAUACCCUCAUCAGAUAAAAUGUCAAGUUUCGAUUUAUUCAUUAUUUUGUUAAAUUGCACAAGACUAACAGCUUAUUAGCUUAUUAAAAAACAUUUAACUUUUAAAUUGUUAAGGCAACACAUUUUUAACUUUAAUUAGACCCAGUCAGUUAGAGCAGUCAGGAGUGCAACCAAUUAAAUUUAUAAAUAGUUUUAUAAUUGGCAAAAAUAAUGCGAUAUCCAAAUAAUGACUGAAUAGAAGAUGACCCUGUUCAUGACAACAAAGUCAAAGUCCAGUAAACUACACUAAAAUUGUGCUAAUAGUUACCUACUGGUUUAUUCCAAAUACUUUUUUAAUUUAUUACCACAUUUCCAAUUAAGUAUUUAUAGAGAUAGUCCAUAGUAAUCCAUAGCAUUUUUUCCAUACUAUGGAAGUCAAUGGGGCCCAUCAACUGUUUGGUUACACAUAAUCUUUAAAAUAUCUUUUUUUGUGUUCAGCAGACGAAAGAAAUUCAUACAGGUUUGGAACAACUUCGGGAUCAUAUUCUCUGUGAUGUUUCCAUUAAAAGAGUCUGUGCCAUUACACACUGCGGUGGACACUAUGGGCAGCUUCACCGUCUGCAGCGUUGCAGGGAUUCCUCCCGUUGGAGUGGUGAAGCCCCAUCCGGACACCCUGCACACGCGACCCACGGCCACCAUGGCGUCCUGCCGAGGCAGCGGCGCAAGAGACACAAAGCUGUUCAGAUAGACCGGAGACCGCAGCUACACAGCUCACCGCGAGGAGCUCCAGGAGGACGCACAGAAGAGGAAGCGGCAGGUUCAUACUGAUGGAGACGCAGCCAGAGACAGACACAUGCACAGGUGCAGACCAGACUGAGACGAGUUUUGCUUCAGGUACUCUGAUUCCAC